UACGUAGGGGGCAAGCGUUGUCCGGAUUUAUUGGGCGUAAAGAGCGUGUAGGCGGCCAGGUAGGUGGGUUGUGAAAACUGGAGGCUCAACCUUCAGACGUCGACCCAAACCCCCUGGCUAGAGUCCGGAAGAGGAGAGUGGAAUUCCUGGUGUAGCGGUGAAAUGCGCAGAUAUCAGGAAGAACACCCGUGGCGAAGGCGACUUUCUGGCCUGUUCUUGACGCUGAGGCGCGAAAGCUAGGGGAGCAAACGGG
rnacentral:rRNA from 1 species